AGUGAACGCUGGCGGUAGGCCUAACACAUGCAAGUCGAACGGCAGCACAGUAAGAUCUUGCUCUUACGGGUGGCGAGUGGCGGGCGGGUGAGGAAUACAUCGGAAUCUACUUUUUCGUGGGGGAUAACGUAGGGAAACUUACGCUAAUACCGCAUACGACCUACGGGUGAAAUCAGGGGAUCUUCGCACCUUGCGCGAUUGAAUGAGCCGAUGUCGGAUUAGCUAGUUGGCGGGGUAAAGGCCCACCAAGGCGACGAUCCGUAGCUGGUCUGAGAGGAUGAUCAGCCACACUGGAACUGAGACACGGUCCAGACUCCUACGGGAGGCAGCAGUGGGGAAUAUUGGACAAUGGGCGCAAGCCUGAUCCAGCCAUACCGCGUGGGUGAAGAAGGCCUUCGGGUUGUAAAGCCCUUUUGUUGGGAAAGAAAAGCAGCAGGUUAAUACCCCGCUGUUCUGACGGUACCCAAAGAAUAAGCACCGGCUAACUUCGUG
rnacentral:rRNA from 1 species